UUAGUGAACUUUUAUUUAGAAGAAAAAAAAGAAACAAAAAACAUUGAUUCAUUGUGAAUUUUUUUAACAAGUAUCAUAUGCUGUCUCCAAUAAAUACCAAUGAUGUUCAUGGAUUAACAUCAACAAAAUCAAAAAGGGUGUUUCGAAGGAGUCUCACUAAAUUUCAAGGUGGAUCAGUUGGGUGUUAGAAGUCGGCUCGUUCACCGGUUCCGCGCAAGAAACCAGGGAACCAUGGUCACAUCGAUUAAUUCUUUAUCGAUUCGACGCGGCGCGAGAAGAACCAUGAUAAAAACACUCUUCGUGAAGAUGCAAACGACCAGACGGAUCAAGGAGUAACGAAGAAACCGGUGCUUUUUAUUCGACAACCAAUCUUUCUGUAGCGUCAUGCCGAGUAAUUUGAAACUUGUUACAGGAAUACCGUGCAAAGAAAAGAUGAUCCAUUACAUCGUCGGCAUUAAUUUCUCGCGAUCGAUCCGAUCGUCUUCGUGGGAUCGAAGAACGCCUGGUUAAGCAAGAACCAAGAAGAAAAUCCAUGGAACCCGGAAAAUAGGUAGAAACAAAUCGUAAUGUGACGAAGUUACGGGGAAAUCUUCCCAUGAUGAGCUGAGAGGAAGAUCCAGUUCGUUCUCUCGAUGUCUCGAUCCUGUUCGAUCUAUCUAAUUCUUGGAUUAAGAGGUUCGACGCCCGUUACGAGAGAACGUGCUUCAAGAAACGCUGUUCUUUACAUCGACACGUCUUUCAGCACGUUUUCGGGAUCUCUGGGAAGCUUUAUGUUCACAGAAAUAAUGGUAGACCUGAUUGAGUGGGAAGAAUCAGGGAAGAGCAUCGAUAAAUAGGACCGUAGAGGGCCGUAUUCUACGAAUCGUAGAAUCGUCAAGCAGCCUCGUAAGGGUGUUUUCAUGCGACGAUCACGCGAAUAACCAUCGAUCGCUACGGGUUACGACACUAUGAAACGUCCAGCAAGUGCAUUCGGAAGCCGAUGAUGGAUCGUCGUGGAAAAAAAUAGCAGUUUGUAGACUGUGGUUCGAGGAAACAUCGUUCGAAGCAUUGUUUCAACAUCGAGUAAUGAGUCUGCUCGUACAACUCCAUCGAAGGGAAUGGUCUUUUGAAGAAAACUGACGGUGAUUCAAAGAGUUCCUACGAUCAUGAAUUAUAUUUUUAGAACGCCGAUCCGAGUUAUAAUUCUUCGCACGAUGAUCCAAUAAUUAAUACUCGCAAUUUCCGCAUAAACUUCCAGGAAAAAGGAACGAACCCUAACGAAGAUCGAGGAUAAUAAGAAGAAACAAGCGCUCGGAGAUUACAACGGUAAAGCAGUUUCCACGUACCAAGAUAUGUUCGUCGUUUAUUAUCAUUCGACGAAGAAAUUAAUUUGGCGGGAGAAAAGGGACGUGGACGACCUCAUGGGCGAUAUUAGCUGUUCCCCAUUAGAGCGGACCGGAACGUUUACAUUCGCUCGCUAGUAAGUAGCAAUAAAUAUUUGUUGGUCGACUGUCGAUCGCGACCAUUAGGUAACACAUGGCCUGACAGACGCACCUCUGUCUCUAUUCUAGAGCUUCAGUGUUCGCUAACACGUUAUACAGCCAUUCUUCGAAUGGUUCUCGCAUUAUUGAUUCAUGGUGUCAGAGUUAU